rnacentral:rRNA from 1 species
CUGCUAACCGCGGGCCAGCAGCCGCUGUAAUACGGAGGAUCCAAGCGUUAUCCUGAAUCAUUGGGUUUAAAGGGUCCGUAGGCGGCUUAAUAAGUCAGCGGUGAAAGUUUGCAGCUUAACUGUAAAAUUGCCAUUGAUACUGUUAGGCUUGAAUUAUUGUGAAGUAACUAGAAUAUGUAGUGUAGCGGUGAAAUGCUUAGAUAUUACAUGGAGUACCAAUUGCGAAGGCAGGUUACUAACAAUGGAUUGACGCUGAUGGACGAAAGCGUGGGUAGCGAACAGGAUUAGAUACCCGAGAGUC